AUAUAACUAAGCGGAGGAAAAGAAACUAACAAGGAUUCCCUCAGUAACGGCGAGUGAAGUGGGAAAAGCUCAAUCUUAAAAUCUCUCUCUCAGUUUGAGUGAGCGAAUUGUAGUCUAUUAAAAUGAUAUCAGCAGCAUUACGUGGGAUAAGUCCCUUGGAAAAGGGCAGCAUAGAGGGUGAUACUCCCGUCUUUGCCUAUGUAAAGCUGUAUACGAUACAUUUUUAUUGAGUCGAGUUGCUUGGGAAUGCAGCUCAAAGUAGGUGGUAAAUUCCAUCUAAAGCUAAAUAUAAGUGUGAGACCGAUAGCGAACAAGUACCGUGAGG
rnacentral:rRNA from 1 species